CAAACAGGCUUUGUGUGAGCAAUAAAGCUGUUUAUUUCACCUGGGUGCAGGUGGGCUGAGUCCAAAAAGAGAGUCAGCGAAGGGAAAUAGGGGUGGGGCCGUUUUAUAGGAUUUGGGUAGAUAAAGGAAAAUUACAGUCAAAGGGGGGUGUUCUCUGGCCGGCAGAGUGGGGGUCACAAGGUACUCAGUGGGGGAGCUUUUGAGCCGGGAUGAGCCAGGAGAAGGAAUUUCACAAGACAAUGUCAUCAGUUAAGGCAGGAACAGGACAUUUUCACUUCUUUUGUGGUGGAAUGUCAGCAGUUAAGGCAGGAACCAGCCAUCUGGAUGUGUACCUGCAGGUCACAGGGUAUGUGAUGGCUUAGCUUGGGCUCAGAGGCCUGACAUUCCUGUCUUCUUAUAUUAAUAAGAACAAUAAAAUGAAAUAGUGGUAAAGUGUUGGGACAGUGAAAAUUUUUUGGUGGUAUGGAGAGAUAAUGGGUGAUGUUUCUCAGGGCUGCUUCGAGCGGGAUUAGGGGCGGCGUGGGAACCUAGAGUGGGAGAGAUUAAGCUGAAGGAAAAUUUUGUGGCAAGGGGUGAUAUUGUGGGGCUGUUAGAAGAAACAUUUGUUAUUUAGAAUUAUUGGUGUUGGCCUGGAUACAGUUUUGUAUGAAUUGAAAAACUAAACAGAAUAAGAGAAGGAGAAAAACAGGUAUUAAAGGACUCAGAAUUGGGAGGACCUACGACAUCUAAUUAGAGAGUGCCUAAGGUGGUUCAGCAUAGCCUUGCCAGUAAAGAUUAUUUAUUUACUUUAAGAGUUAAGAGUGGCGGUUUGGGGAUAGCACCAGGAGAUAUCAGCUGUGCUGGCUUGGAGAAACAGUGUAAACUGGCAGUGUAAACAAGAGCAGGGCAUGUAUGAGUAGUUGAGAACGGUGAAUAGGAGUAUGACUAGACAGAAGAUAGUAGGGAUGACAAGUUUUUUGGGGCACAGUCCAAGUUGGUCUGGUGUCUGGAAUGAGACUGGGGCCUAAUAAAAAAAGGAGCUCAAAUGGGCUGUACCCUGUAGCAUUCCGAGGACAGGCCUGAGUUCUGAGAAGUGAAAGUGGUAAAAGUAUUGUCCAGUCCUUUUUAAGUUGGUGACUGAGCUUGGUGAGGUGUGUUUUUAAAAGACCUUUAGUCCAUUCUACUUUUCCUGAAGACGGAGGACCAUAAGGGAUAUAAAGGUUUCACUGAAUACUAAGAGCCUGAAAAACUGCUUGGCUGAUUUGACUAAUAAAGGCUCGUCUGUUAUCAGACUGUAUUGAGGUGGGAAGGCUAAACUGAGGAAUUGUGUCUGACAGAAGGGAAGAAAUGACUGCGGUGGCCUUCUCAGACCCUGUAGGAAAGGCCUGUACCUAUCCAGUGAAAGUGUCUACCUAGACUAAGAGGUAUUUUAGUUAUCUGACUCGGGGCAUGUUGAGUAAAGCUAAUUUGCCAGUCCUGGGUAGGGGCAAAUCCUCGAGCUUGAUGUGUAAGGAAGGGAGGGGGCCUGAAUAAUCCCUGAGGAGUAGUAGAAUAGCAGAUGGAACACUGAGAAGUUAUUUCCUUGAGGACAGAUUUCCACGAUGGAAAGAAAAUGAGAGGUUCUAAGAGGGGGGCUAGUGGCUUGUACUAUAGCAUAGCCUGCCUUUGCUGGUGUGUGGCGAUUAGGCCUGGUGGAACUGCCAUCAAUAAAUCAAGCGUGAUCAGGGUGAGGAACAGGAAAGAAGGAAAUAUGGGGAAAUGUGGUGAAUGUCAGGUGGAUCAGAGAGAUACAGUCAUGGAGGUCAGGUGUGGUAUCAGGAAUAAUGUGGGAGGCCAGAUUGAAGUCCGGGCCAGGAACAAUGGUAAUUGUGGGAGUUAACAAAGAGUGAGUAUAGCUGAAGGAGCCAGGAAGCCGAAAGUAUAUGCGUCAGGUAUGAGGAAGAAAAUAGAUUUUGGAAGUUAUGAGAAAUGUAGAGAGUAAGUUGAGCAUAGUUUGUGAUUUUUAGGGCCUCUAAAAGUAUUAGGGUGGCAGCAGCCACGCACGCAGACAUGAGGGCUAGGCUAAAACAGUAAGGUCAAGUUGUUUGGACAGAAAGGCUACAGGGUGCGGUCCUGGCUCUUGUGUAAGAAUUCUGACCGCACAAACCAUGCCUAGGAAGGAAAGGAGUUGUUGUUUUGUAAGGGAUUGAGGUUUGGGAGAUUAAUUGGACAUCAGCAGGGAGAGCACGUGUGUUUUUAUGAGAAUUAUGCUGAGAUAGGUAACAGAUAAGGAAUAAAUUUGGGCUUGACUGAAGUAAUGGGGGCUGUCUGUGAAACUUUGCGGCAGUACAGCCCAGGUAAUUUCCUGAGCCUGAUGGGUGUCAGGGUCAGUCCAGGUGAAAGCGAAGAGAGGCUGGGAUGAUGGGUGCAAAGGAAUAGUAAAGAAAGCAGGUUUGAGAUCCAGCACAGAAUAAUGGAUUGUGGAGGGAGGUAUUGAGGAUAGGAGAGUAUAUGGGUUUGGCACCAUGGGGUGGAUAGGCAAAACAAUUUGGUUGAUAAGGCAUAGAUCCUGAACUAACUUGGAAGGCUUGUCUGGUUUUAGGACAGGUAUAAUGGGGGAAUUGUAAGGAGAGUUUAUAGGCUUUAAAAGGCCAUGCUGUAGCAGGUGAGUGAUAACAGGCUUUAAUCCUUUCAAAGCAUGGUGUGGGAUGGGAUAUUGGCAUUGAGCGGGGUAAGGGUGAUUAGGUUUUAAUGAGAUAGUAAGGGGUGCAUGAUCGGUCGCCAAGGAGGGAGUAGAGGUAUCUUAUUCUUGUGGGUUAAGGUGGGAGAAUACAAGAGGAGGACGCAAAGGAGGCUUUGGAUUGGGAAGAAGGGCAGCAAUGAGAUGUAGCUGUAAUACAGGAAUAGUCAGGGAAGCAGAUAAUUUAGUUAAAGUGUCUCGGCCUAAUAAGGGAACUGGGCAGGUGGGGAUAACUAAAAGGAGUGCUUAGAAGAGUAUUGUCUAAGUUGGAACCAGAGUUGGGGAGUUUUAAGAGGUUUAGAAGCCUGGCCGUCAAUACCCACAACAGUUAUGGAGGCAAGGGAAACAGGCCCUUGAAAAGAAGGUAAUGUGGAGUGGGUAGGCUCCGUAUUGAUUAAGAAGGGGACGGGCUUAGCUUCCACCGUGAGAGUUACCCGAAGCUCGGCGUCCGUGAUGGCCUAGGGGGCUUCCGAGGUGAUCGGGCAGAGUCAGUCUUCAGCCGCUAAGCCAAGAAGAUCUGGGAAGCCGUCAGAGAGCCUUGGGCCAGAGUUCCAGGGGCUCUGGGAGUGGCUGCCAGGUGAGUUGGACAGUCCGAUUUCCAGUGGGGUCCCGCACAGAUGGGACGUGGCUUAGGAGGAAUCCCGGGCUGCAGGCAUUCCUUGGCCUGGUGGCCAGAUUUCUGGCACUUGUAGCAAGCUCCUGGGGGAGGAUGUUCUGGAGGAAGGCCUGGCCGCUGUGGUUCAGGCGUUUGGAAGUUCUUGUGUGCUGGAGAUGUGGCUGGGGUUUGUCUCACAGUGGAGGCAAGGAAUUGCAACUUUUUUCUAUUAUUGUACACCUUGAAGGUGAGGUUAAUUAAAUCCUGUUGAGGGGUUUAAGGGCCGGAAUUUAAUUUUUGGAGUUUUAUUUAAUGUCGGGAGCAGAUUGGGUAAUAAAAUGUAUUUUGAGAAUAAGACGGCCUUUUGACCUUUUAGGGUCUAGGGCUGUAAAGUGUCUCAGGGUUGCUGCCAAACAAGUCAUGAACUGGGCUGGAUUUUUAUAUUUGAUGAAAAAGAGCCUAAACGCUAUCUGAUUUGGGAUAAAGAAAAAGGAGCAUUAACCUUGACUAUGCCUUUAGCUCCAGCCACCUUUUUAAGAGUAAAUUGCUGGGCAGGUGGGGGAGGGCUGGUCACGGAACGAAACUGUAAGCCGGACCAGGUGUGAGGAGGGGAGGUGAUAAAAGGAUUAUAGGGUGGAGGAGCAGAGGCUGAGGAAGAAUUGGGACGUAGCUCGGCCUGGCGAGGAGCAGCCUGGGGAGGAGGGGAGAGGUCAGAUGGGUCUGUAGAAAUGGAAGAUUAGAAAGACUCAGCGACCCUUGGGGUUGGGACUGAGGGGACGGGUGGGAGGGAAAGAAGGAAGAUUUGGGAUGAGUUGCAUUGGGAACAGAGACUAGAGAGGGACCGACGUGUAAAAGAAUGCCUGGACGUCAGGCACCUCAGACCAUUUACCCAUCUUACAACAAGAAUUAUUUAGAUCUUGCAGGAUGGAAAAAUUGAAAGUGCCGUUUUCUGGCUAUUUGGAACUACUGUCGAGUUUGUAUUGCGGUCAGGUGGCAUUGCGGAAGAAAAUAAGAUGCUGAGAGUUUAGGUCAGGUGAGAGCUGAAGAGGUUUUAAGUUCUUAAGAACACAGGCUAAGGGAGAAGGAGCAAUGGAGGGUGGAAGGUUGCCCACAGUGAAGGAGGCAAGCCCAGAGAAAAGAGAGAGUAGAGAAACGGAGGGAAGGGGUUUGGGGGUUCUUACCCUCCAGAAAAGCGGGAGAGGUAGGGGCACGGAAAUAAGGGAUCGGGGCACAGAGAUAUAAGAGGUUGGGGUGUGGAAAUAAGGGAUCAGGGCACAGAGAUAUGAGGUUGGGGUACUUUCCCCUCCCCUAGAAAAGCGGGACUUGCCUCUAAGGGUGAAGGACCAAGACAGGCGUCCCUGCGUGGUCUGACACCUCUGAAACAUGGGUGAAUAAUCAGAGAGGCGUCCCUGAAAUGAUUAAACACCAAGGGAAGGCUGCCUUCCCAGUCCGUGACCAGCACUGGAGUUUUGGGUCCACGGAUAAAACGCGUCUCCUUUGUCUCUACCAGAAAAUGAAAGGAAUUGAAAUUAAAAGAAGGGAGAGAUUGAAGUGUGGUGCCAAGAUUGAAAGGAGAAAGAGGUUGAGGGAUAGUAAGUGAGGUUGGAGGAGAGAGUAAAAAGAGGCCACUUACCAUACUUGAAAUUGGUGAGACGUUUCUUGGGCUGGUCAGUCUGAGGACCUGAGGUUGUAGGUGGAUCUUUCUCACGGAGCAAAGAACAGGAGGACAGGGGAUUGAUGUCCCAAGGGAGGUCCCCCGAUCCAAGUCACAGCACCAAAUUUCACUCGUGUCUGUGUGAAGAGACCACCAAACAGGCUUUCUGUGAGCAAUAAAGCUGUUUAUUUCCCCUGGGUGCAGGUGUGCUGGGUCCAAAAAGAGAGUCAGGGAAGGGAGAUAGGGGUGGGGCCGUUUUAUAGGAUUUGGGUAGGUAAAUCCUACCCAAUCCAGUCAAAGGGGGGGUUGUUCUCUGGCGGGCAGAGUGGGGGUUACAAGUUACUCAGUGGGGGAGCUUUUGAGCCAGGAUGAGCCAGGAGAAGGAAUUUCACAAGACAAUGUCAUCAGUUGAGGCAGGAACAGGACAUUUUCACUUCUUUUGUGGUGGAAUGUCAGCAGUUAAGGCAGGAACCAGCCGUCUGGAUGUGUACAUGCAGGUCACAGGGGACAUGAUGGCUUAGCCUGGGCUCAGAGGCCUGACAUAGUAUAAUUUCCACCAUCGAUUCAUCAAUCAAUUAGCACCAAUCAGUUAAUCAAUCAUCAUCAUCAGUAAUUGUUCUUAAAUAUGUAUUGAGCACAAAUCAUGUUAUGACAUUACCUUAGAAAUUAAGUAAAUCUAUUGGUGUAAAAAUGAGUUAUUUUUAAUGGCAGCUUAUGGUUGACUUGGGGAGGCUCGAUAUAUUGAUAAAAAAAUGAAUUUAAGAUAAUGUAUGAUACAGAACAGAAAAUGUGUUCUGUGAUAGUUCACAGGCAGGAGCGUUUGAGGAGAUAGUUCUCCAUGAGUCUAUCAUAUUACUGCACAAGCAGAGGCACUGAUUCCUUUUGUUCCAGAUUAUCUCUUAUGGAUGUUUGUAUAACAAGCAGCUUAGAAUGUAUGGUGUGUCCCUCAGAGUAAAGGGUAGAUUUGUGGGCUGCCUAGUGUGAUAAAGAUAAUGUUUCCCUCUAGGAAAAGAUUAGGCAGAUUUGCUUCCAGUCCAUUACAGAAACUCAAGGUUUUCUAAACUCAGGGUUCCUCAGCUCUGAUGCAAACCCUCUGCGUGCAAAGCUUCCACAGGAACCAUUUUAUGUCAUUCUGUAGGAUUUGAGUAAGAAGGGAGCUGACACAAACAUGAAGCUCAUAGUGCUUUCUGUGCCAUGAGGAGUAAAAUCCUAUGUCUCUGACCCAAGAGUGUUUUGUUUUCUGCCAGUACAUAUGAAAUUGUGGCAGACUGACUUACUAGUUUGCAAGUAGGCUAAAAUUUCAGCCCUUUCACAAUUCCUUACAGAGGUUUGUUUUGGAGGAAAGAAUCUCAACGUUUAGAUUAUAUAAGUGUAAAUAAAUUCUUCCCAGGUUUUGGCACAUUCCUAGUCAUGGACAACUUUUAAUUAUCUAGAAUUUAGAACUCCAUCAAACCCCAAAUAAAAAUGAAGGAGUGUGGUGUAGGUAAAAGGUGUAAUUCACAAAUUUGUUUGUUGAGGGUGAAUGUAACAGGACACACAUAUGUGAAAGAAAGAGGGGUUGGAAAAGUUGAGUAAUUUCAAAAUUAUGUUUGAUUUGCUAUUUGACUUGUGUUACUUGAGUAAAAGCCAUGAUGAUAAACCCCUUAAUUUUUGCCCAAAACGUUGUAUAGAUGGUAAUUUUUCAGUUGAAAAUCCUUAUUGUAAAUUAUAUUAUUUCUCCAUAUGUUUAUUCUCUAAUUUGAUUUUUGGCAAGCAGUGUUAGUUAUCCUCAUCUUGUUUCUGUACAGAAAUGUAUAUAGCAUAGCUUUGAAAUUAUGGCUACCAAAUGGAAGAUAGCUUCCUAUUAAGAGAUUUGAUCAUGGGCAUGCUUAUGUUCAAUAAAAGUUAUCAAAAUCAUGAUCAUAAUUAGGAAAUUUGAUUCUCCUCAUGUACAGCACGUUAUGAAUUAUGCGGAGUUAUUUUUGAACCACAAUGCAACACUAAAUUAGGUUCCUCUUUCUUUAAAAAAAUUAAAGAAUAAUCAGUUACUAUUCUCUCCUCAUUUCUAAUUUCUACAAUGGUGCCUUGAUUGUAAACCUACAGAAAUCAUGUCUUUUUUCUCCCCCUAUUUUCUGUUUUAAUAUCACUUCACAUCCGUUUCACUUUUUCUCUGGGGCUCGUUUAUGAAGCCCACUGGCACUGGUAAUGAUUCUUCAUGGUGGAACCCAGCAAAUGCUGUUGCCAUUUCUCUUAAGCCAGACUAGUCUUGCAAACAUACUGACUCCAUUUAGUGAAAAUAAAAGGGGAUAGAACAGAAAGAGGAGAUCAUGCGUAUCUUAAAAUAACAACAGCCAUAUGACAGUUUCAGGCCUGUGUUUGGAGAGAAUUUGCAUAUAUCCCAUUAAGCCUGCCUGAGCUCCACUUUCAAAUUUUGAUGUUGCCAGUCAAUUUGCAGAGGUCAACAAUAUCUUUUCCUAAAUGCAAGUUUUCUUAUAAUUGCACCUCAAUAACUGACAACUGGCCCUGACAAAAAGACAAGAAAGACAAGUGUUUGUUGCAAGAAAACAUCAAUAUACAGCGUUUUGUAGACAGGACUACUCUGGAGAGACUCUGCUAUAUUUGGACCAUUAGCAUCAAGUCAAGGUUUCAAAUGAUAAAUUCAAUUAGAGUGGAGUUGACUAAGUGAUCUAAAAUAGUGUGCAUUAGGAGCAAUGUACAAGCAUGGAGUUCAUUAAAUAGCAGUAUCAGUGUGAUCACCUUUUAGUAACAUAAUCAAUUUACUGGUCUUUGAAUAGUAGCAGUGGUCAGACUAAAUUAAAUUUAAUGUACAUUGACCAAGUGAUUUACAGUAUCUAGAUUUACAGUAUCUCAGAAUAAAGAAUGAUGACUUUCAAGCAUUCCAGGAACGAAGGGAGGAAUAAAUUAUAAUAUGGGCCAAGUAAGGGUCUCACUCUGCUGUCCCUGCUGGAGUGCAGUAGUUUGAUCUCGGUUCACCACAACCUCCACCUCCCUGGCUCAAGUGAUUCUCCUGCCUCAGCCUCCCGAGGAGCUGGGAUUACAGGCACCCACCACCACACCUGGCUAAUUUUUGUAUUUUUAGUAGAGAAGGGUUUCACCAUGUUAGCCAGGCUGGUCUUGAACUCCUGACCUCAAGUGAUCCACUUGCCUUGGCCUCCCAAAAUGCUGGGAUUACAUGCGUGAGCCACCACACCAGGCAGAAGAGAUUUUCAAAAAGAACCUUUAUAUAAAAUGUCUUUAUAUGUAAUGUAUUUUGUAAGACUCAGAUUUACUGUCUUUAGAAGCUGGAAUCAUAGUGAUUUCUUUUUGGCAUAUUUGGUUUCUUGAUAAGCUAUUUUUUAAAGGAAAUUUUAAAUAAUGCAAUCAUGUCAUGUCGUUUGAAUCCUCCCUAUCUUCUAACUUUUGAAGACAACCUGAAACAGGAGAUUGGUGAGGAAUAAAGCACUUGUGAAUUUGGUUAAAUUAAUUUCAGAAAAAUGUGUUAAAUCCUACAAUGCCUAGCACUAUGAUAGACCCUACAAAUAUGGGAUGAAUGAAAGUGAGGGCCUGUCAGUGGGAAGCUUGGUCCAAUCUUUUCUUCAUUAUGAAGAUGGAAUAUGGACCCCAGAUUGGUUUGAUUUCAUGAACAUAGAGAAAAGCCUCCACCUAGUUACUUUACUUGGCCUUUAAAUAAGUUACACAGUUUGAAACACCUUUGCUAUGUAGGAAAGAUGUGAAUUGAUCUUUGUCUGAAAAGCAUACUUUGUACUUCUGAGAAGAAUGCUGUUUUUUACAUCAUCAAUUAUUUUCACUUAUGGGGAGGCCUUCCUUAGGUCCCGGAUUUCAGAGGGCAAUUAAAUUUAAUUAAUUUGGCAAAUAGUGAAUGAGAACUUACAAUAUACCAGUCCUGGUCAUCAACUAUGGGGACGGGGUGGUUUCUGUCAUAUUGGAGCCCACAUUGUAGUUGAGGAAUGAAAAAUUACGGAGAAAAUUUACGGUAUGUUUUACUCUGUGAAACAGGCUAAGUAGACGAUGUGAAAAUACUUCAAGGGAAAAUUACCUAACCUGUAUUCUCUAACAUGAAAAUCACAGCCAAAGAAAAAGAGACAAUAAAUGUGUGGGAUGCAGCAGUUGGAACCACUUUAAAUUAACACUAAAUUCCUGAUUUUAUUAAGAAAUACCAUUAGAUUACAGGUUUCUAAGUGAUGAGUAGUUAUGUUUUGACUGACUGACUGUAAGUAGGGGUUUUGACUUAAACAGUUUUUUUUUGUGUACCCCUUGUGGCGCUCAAAAUCAUUGUGUAUAAAAGACAUCAAUGAAGUGUUUUUCUACUGAUUAUUUGUUACUGAAAUAAUGAUAUGAAAUGCUGUUUUCCUGUUACAUGAUUAAAAUAAGCAUUUAAAAGAAAAUCUCAAAUAUAUAAACCCCUUAGGGAUCCAAGAAUCUUAAAACUUGCUUGUCCUAAUAAUGAGUUAAAAUGCAUUGUUAUUUGUGCAUGGUGUUUGUGAGUGGAUGUGUGUAUUUAUUGAACUGUGUGUGUGAAAGUGAUUUAGGAGGUCAGCAAGGGCGCCCUUUCUCCUGUGCAGUCUUUACAGCUAUUCAGCCCUUGCCAGUCAGAAUGUGAUGGAUGAGUUCAGGAAUUGAACUCUGACCCUCACUGGGAGAACAUGGACCUUGUCAGAGGUAUCUCAAAGAAUUCCCAUUAUCCUUUCAUUUUAAAGAUUCUUGAAAUUGCUUGUAAUUCUUGCCUUAGGUAAUGAAAACUUUCUUUUCAGUUUAUAAUAAGCUAAUAGCAAAAUGAUGUGCAUUCCAAAUAUCCACUCAUGGCAUAAAAUUACUAUCUGACUCAGAUAAUAUUAAUAUUAUAGCCAAAAAGUAUUAAUUGCCACUGCAACUUUUAUCAAAAUAAUUGACCAAAUUCACCUAAUGGCUGUAAUUUAUUUGUAGCACUGAACAAUUAUUGGAGAAGAUGAAGCCAAUUGCCAUAGAAUAAAAAUUAUUCUUGUAAUUUGUAUACUGCAUUGUUCCUGAGCACACAUACAAACUCUAUGUGUAAUGCAUAAACUCUUUAAAAAAAAUUAAACACAUACAAAAACACAAGCUCAGUCAGCAUUAGCAUUUAAUUAACUGAUUCCUCAAAAAUAACUGGAUGUUUGAUUAUUUGUUUCACGUCAAUCCUGCUGUUGGCUGCAUUUUAUUUUAUUAUUUUUUAAAAGCCUGAAUAAUGAAAUCCAAAACCCCACAUCUAGCUCAGAGCUCCCAAAAUGCCUCUAAGAUAGUUGUAUAGUAAAGCAACUACAUCUAAUUCAAGUAGGCAUAUUUAAUCAAUGGGAAAAUUGUUAAGUGUCCCAAAAGAAACUAUGUUAAAAAAUUAUUGUAAAACAACGUAUAUGCUGAAUAUACUUCAGUUCAGUUAAUUUUUUUCUAAGAUGUAACAAUCAACUAACACUAAAAUUGACAACCUUAUAUAAGACCAUUAGGUGACAUUUAAGAGCAGAAUCAGCAUUGCUUCUUAUUUCACAGGAUUUCUCAGAUAUUAGAAUGCUUUUAGCACUAUGUCUGGGGUGACCUGAUUAUGACAGAUUUAUUUUCCUUAUAAAUUGCUUUUAAAGAUAAACAGAAGCCAUUUGGGAAGAGAUUUAUUCUUCUCAAAAUCAAAAACUCUAGCUACAAGAAAAAGCUUGCAGUUAAAAUAAAAGCUGUAUUUAAAUAUUCAACAUUCAACAAAGGACAUAACUAAGUUAAGUCUCUAUAUAAUCAGAAAACAUGGGAUUCUACCAAAAAAUUAUUCAUGAGGAAUGGGAAGGUUAAGAGAGGAGAAAUGCUUAAGUCUUACAAAUUAAGCUUCAGAAACACAAUUCAAGAAGGGAUUGUAGCAAUAUGGUACCUGUUUUCACAUAUAUUAUGACAUAUCAAAACUUAAACAUGCUUUCAGUGGUUUAUUCAAUAUUUCAUCUCCAAAUAAUAGUCAAAAUGAAAGAAUCUAUUUUAUGGUAUUUGUUAGUUCUUCAUUAAUUUAUCAGUUUAGUCAUCCCUUUAUCCACCACUCCCUUUUUCACUGCUUCCUCCUAGCACGUAGUUAUAACAUCUAAUAGCUUUGUUUUAAAUGCUAAUAAAGUGUUUAUUGUCAUUCAGUGGUAUUGCAUCAGUAAUAUUUUCUUCAGGAAUUCCAAAAAGCACAACUCUAGGUGGAGCCAAGUACGUUACGCAAUCUGAGAAUGGUGUUCCUCAGUGGUAUUCAAGCAGAGUCACAUGAUAAAGCUCUGAUGGAUGUAAUAGAUGAUAAGGCAUAGCUCCUAGCAAUUGCUAGAUAAAGGCUAAUUUAUGAUUGUGUCUCUCAACAAUCCAGUUUUCCCUACCCUGACCCCUCCUCUAUGUUAUAACUUACAAUAAUGUAAGUUUAUAUUUGG
rnacentral:lncRNA from 1 species